GCGCGGCGCGGAGGCCGGGGAGGAGCCGGGGCCUGCAGCGGAGCAGAGCGGAGCCCGAGCCCCGGCCGAGUCUUGACACCGUCCGUCCGCCUCCUGGUUCCCCGGGAGCCCGGACUGGCCGGAGCCCGAGCGGUGGAGGCGCGGGGAGUGCCACGCGCCGGCGGGAGCGGACGGGACGGGACCAGAGAAGAGGCGCGGCCGCCGCCGCAGCAGUGACGGGCGUCGGGAGCCGCGGCCUCCCAGCCCCAGCUGCCCAGGCCAGCUCCGGGAGAGCGGGGAGGGAGAGGACUCCUUUUACACUCAGCGGCAGAGGACACUCCCGGGAGAGAAAAGGACUCAGCUCUCAGCCUUUCAGGAGAGGGGAAGAGCUCCCCCCAACUUCCUUGUACCUAGACGGUGGAACAGGGCAGAGCCCCUCCGCUCAGAUCUCCAGCGGACAGAAAGAGCCCUCCACUCCCGACAGAUUCAGUUUGGGGGGGAGGGGGACUCCCCCAAGGGGGAGGAGACAACUCCCGGUUGGGAGAGGCUCCUCCCCUCGUCCCCAGGGUCACCGGCCGAGUGUGGGGACUGUGCCACCUUCCCCAGGUGGGACCGCCUUCUCCUCCCCCUCCCCCUCCCCCCGCUCCUCCUCAGGGGACCCAGUUCCCCUCCCCAGCUUGGGGGGCUCAGCCAAGUACAGGAAGAGCCACUGAGGAUGAGACUCUUCAUCUGCCUCUGAAGAGGGGAGUCCCUCCAACCCCAAACUCCAGUACCAAGUGGUCCUGUCCCUCUGCUGGGGGAGACUUGGAGACAGAACCCAGAAGUACCAUGGCUUCUGACCUAGAGAGUAGCCUCACCUCCAUAGACUGGCUCCCCCAGCUGACCCUCCGGGCUACCAUUGAGAAGCUUGGGAGUGCCUCCCAGGCUGGGCCUCCAGGCAGCAGCCGCAAGUGUCCACCAGGCUCACCCACAGAUCCUAACGCCACCCUGAGCAAAGAUGAGGCAGCCGUCCACCAGGAUGGCAAACCCCGAUACAGCUACGCCACCCUCAUCACCUAUGCCAUCAACUCCUCUCCAGCCAAGAAGAUGACCCUCAGUGAGAUUUACCGCUGGAUCUGUGAUAACUUCCCCUAUUACAAGAAUGCUGGCAUUGGUUGGAAGAAUUCAAUUCGGCACAACCUUUCUCUCAACAAGUGUUUCCGGAAGGUGCCCAGACCUCGGGAUGAUCCUGGGAAGGGCUCUUAUUGGACAAUCGAUACCUGCCCUGACAUCUCCCGAAAGAGAAGACACCCUCCCGAUGAUGAUCUAUCCCAGGACUCACCAGAACAGGAGGCAAGCAAGAGCCCACGGGGAGGCGUUCCAGGGAGUGGAGAAGCCUCACUGCCUCCCGAGGGGAAUCCUCAGAUGCCACUUCAGAGCCCCACAUCUAUUGCCAGCUACAGCCAGGGCACAGGGUCUGUGGAUGGCGGAGCAGUGGCAGCAGGGGCUCCAGGCCGAGAGAGCACCGAGGGUCCCCCUCCCCUGUACAACACCAACCAUGACUUCAAAUUCUCCUACUCAGAGAUCAAUUUUCAGGAUCUAAGCUGGUCCUUCCGCAACCUCUACAAAUCCAUGCUGGAGAAGUCCUCUUCGUCCUCUCAGCAUGGCUUUUCGUCUCUCCUGGGGGACCUGCCGCCCUCUAACAACUACUACAUGUACCAGCAGCCGCCGCCGCCGCCUCCGCCGCCGCCGCCGCCUCCGCAGCCGCAGCCGCAGCCGCAGCCGCAGCCGCAGCAGGCACCCGCCCAGGGCCCCUCCAAUGUGGGCGGUGCGCCCCCCCUGCACACCCCAAGCCCAGAUGGUUGUGCCCCACCAGGGGGGAAGCAAGCGGGGGCCGAGGGCUACGGGCCGCCCCCUGUGAUGGCCAUGCACCCACCCCCGCUGCAGCACAGCGGCUACCACCCUCAUCAGCACCAUCCCCCCACCCACCCUGCCCAGCCGCCGCCGCCGCCGCCACAGGCACAAGGCCAGGCUCCCAUCAACAGCACUGGCUUUGCCUUUCCUCCUGACUGGUGCUCCAAUAUUGACUCCUUAAAGGAAAGCUUCAAGAUGGUGAACCGGCUCAACUGGUCCAGCAUUGAGCAGUCACAGUUCUCAGAGCUGAUGGAGAGUCUGCGGCAGGCAGAGCAGAAGAACUGGAGCCUGGACCAGCAUCACAUUGCCAAUCUGUGUGACUCCCUCAACCACUUCCUCACUCAGACUGGUCACGUGCCCCCACAGGGGGGCUCCCACCGGCCACCCGCCCCCGCCCGCAUUGCUGAUUCCUGUGCCCUCACUAGUGGCAAGCAGGAGCCAGCCAUGAACCAAGUGAACUCUUAUGUGCACCCUCAAGCCCCCCACCUCUACCCGGGUCCAUCACCAAUGUACCCACUUGCCACCCAGGACUCAGCAGGAUACAAUCGCCCAGGUAAGAACCAGGAAGCUUGUUUCACCACCAGCGAGUCGUUUGGCUUUCCUAUGGCUCCGAACCUGCAUUCUUGGCUCUUUUGCCUGCACCUGCCGGGAGGGGGUGAGCCUUCCUGAUUCUCAAGGCUGGAGGGUGGUCCACCUGCUGGGGAGGUGUAUGUCAUGGGAGACUAAAGAAGACCGACUUACUUUAAAAUGAGCUCGUGCCUGCAGUGAUGAAAGGAAGUAGAAGCAUGGCUAUAAACAAAAGAUAGACGUGUAGAACAUUUAUGCCUGGCUUCGGAAUCUAAGUGGGAGGUACACUCAGACAAAUGACAUGAACAUGUUAUGCAAAUGUACCUGCUUUGUGCCCACAUCUGCUUUCUUGUCUUCCUGACCUCUAGUAUCAGGGUUCUGGGAUUGAACUACCUCUGAUGGUGAGAGUAGGUGGGGAGACCCUAAAUUGCCAUAAAUACUACAGAACGAACAGAUCCUUCACCUUUAAAUGCAUUUGAGAAAAAUCACUGUUAUCAUGCUGCCUAACCACAGUGUUUUCAAUUUUGGAGGUGACGUUCAUCUCUUUGUCCAAGUUUUCCUUUUCCGUGCGAUUUGUAUACAAAUUUCUGUAUUGCUAUUUCAUGUAAUAGUAUAUUCUGUAUGUUUUUUUGUCAUUAUUAUGUAGUCUUCCUAAGUAUAAUUUUUUUUUCUUUUUUUUUUGUUUUUUGGCCGCGCAUCGUGGCUUGUGGGAUCUUAGUUCCCCGACCAGCACACCACAUGGUCCCUCGGCCGCCAGUUCCACCUCCUGGGGCCAAUGAGGAGAUCCCCGAUGACUUCGACUGGGACUUGAUUACCUAGUGCAUCUGAGAGCCUGGCCAUCAGCCCAGGGCUGGGUGGUGAAGUCUGGCAGUGGGGAAAGCACAGUCCCAGCCCAUCCCUUCCGCCCUUGCCUGUAUAUAGAUAUAUAUCCUCUUUUUUUUUUUUUUCUUUCUCUGCCAGAGAAGCCACCGCAAGAUGCUGCCGAAGACAACCCCCUCUUUUCUGCCUCAUUCUUCCUCUUCCUUCUUGUUUUUUUCCUAAUUCUUUUAUUAUUAUUCUUAUUAUAUUAUUAUUAUUAUUAUUGGUUAUAUGCUGUCUCCGGUCUCCUGUCCCUCCACCAUGGACCACGUCCACCUCUUGCUAAUUUAAAAUCAUCUGGCUGGAAGGUGAGGCCAUGAGAGCCGCAGAGAAGGGUCUCAAACUUUGAUUUCCUUUUCGUUUUGGGAAAGUCAGCGCUAGUCCCACCUUUCAGCCCCACGUUGUUUUCUGUGGGUAUCCGUUGGAUCCAGGACUGGAGAAGCCACGUUAUCGAGUAGAAGGGAUCUAAAACACUGCUUGGCAACCAUGAAUUUGCAGGUUUUACUCAAUGGUGCUAAUUUUGUCCUCUGAGCUCUUCCUUGUCCCUUUAUCUCUCCAAUCCUACUUCUGCUGACCCUCAUUCCCCAUCAAGGGUGAGCGUGAUGGUGGUGGCAAUAAAAUCCUAGUGGAAUAGGAGGUCUGGGUUGGGUCGGGUAGAAUAUCAUAGAGGGAUGAUGGAAUAUAAGACAGUCAGAAAUUGCGUCUGUGCUACUCUGUCAGAUAAACUGCCAUUGGCUUAUUCCUGGCCUGUUCUCUGUAGGAGCUAGAGUCGGGCUUAGCCAGAACUCUGCUUCUCUGGUGGAAAUGAGGACAACUCUUCAGCGUAGGUUCAGCUUUUUGGAGAUGGUUUCAGUUGAACCAUUUUGACUUUUUAAACAUCAUUUUCUCUGGAAAUCAACUGUGGCUUUUAUUUGCAUUUACCAAUUAUCCUUUCACCCCCUUAUCUCAUUCAGCAAAUAUUAUUUUGUCCUCCUUUAUUUGUCUACUCAUCUCUUCCACCCAUGGUAUUUUCUUCCCCCAUUUUCUGGCAUUCUCAAGAAAGGAGAGUAACCCAUUACUCCUUGUAGUCUCACCACAGCCUAGGGCAAGACGGGAAUCUCUUUCCCACCCAUCAUAGCAGAACCAAACCUACACUACUGGUGGCAGGAGGGUGCGGGGAGGAGAGGGGAGCUGGCAUAGACGUGGGUGGAGAAUAUUUCAGUUAUUUAACAAUGUAGGCAAAUGCUUCUCUUGGAAUCCAGAUCAUUGGGGCUGAGGCUUUGGCAAUCAGGCUUUUGAGGGGUGAAGGGAAAUUGGUAGAGGGGAAUAAGUAACCUAAAGCAAAGAGUUCCAUGAGGGCCAAGGGAGACCGCCCCCGCCCAGAGAAAGGUACAGGGAUAACUUAACCUCCUUUAACAAGGAGUGGCCAUGAUUUAUUGCUGCAAAGUACUUAGUGUAUAUUUGAUAUUAAUCAUUGAAUCUUAGUCAUGAGAGGGGAGAACAAUUUUACUUCUGUUUUUAUUUUGCUGAAUGUUCACUUUCUCAAAGCUGCAGGACAAAAUGUACCGAAUGGACAAGGCCACUCUCUCUGUGAUUUCUGCUUUGUGUUCAUAUUCUUUUAUUUACCCAUGCUUUCUGCUCUCCUGCUUGUCCCCCUCAUCCGCCCCUUCCUUUCUUUGUAAGGGAUGCUAUAUGAGUUUGUUGAAGACGUCCAGUGAGGCUGAAGUCAGGGGUCAAGAAAGGGCAGUUAACUAAACAGCACUUUAUUUCUUUGAAGUUCUUUGUAAGAAGUAGGGGUGUGAGUGGUGUGAAUCCCCCAUGGUGUCGGAGGGCAGUUAGUGGGGUUGAAGUAUGCCGUAAGAUUUCCCCUUGGGGAAGGGAGAAUUUCUCUUGAGGGUGGUGACACGCCUUUGCCCAGUGUCCUUAUCUGAGGCGUGUCUUCCUUACCCUUCCAGUCAAGGUGCCUCCUACAUACAACGUCCCAUCUGUUCUCCCUAAGAUUCCCCCUUGACAAAUCAUCACUCUUUUCUAAACCCCUUUUCUACCCAGAUCCAUACAGGAUUUGCAAGGGUAGACUAAAUCAGACAUGUAAAUGUCUCUUGUUUAUAUUUCAUCUGUGUCUUCUGAAAACGAGGGUCAUUAAGAACUCUGGCAGGCAGCCGGAGUAACUGAAGUCUGGGGCUAGGGCUGGAGAUUGGCCGUCAGGCCUUCUGGGAUUUUAGCUCCUCUCCACUAAACCCCGCCUUGCUAAAUGGCACAGGACAAACCUGACCCUCUUUGGGCCUCGGUUUCCCCUACCCUCCAUGAAAUGGAAAGAAUCCUACUUUGUCUUGUUGGUCCAGCGUUGCUGGCCGUGAAAGUUUUGUCAUUGUUGUUGUCUUGGGUGAUGUGUGCGAAACUGCAGGAGCUCACUGCCUAAAAGAGGAAGUAAGGGAGAAAGUGGAGGAGAGGGAUGGAAGGAGCAAUUCGUUGGUAUUGAUCCGCCCAUCCCUGCCUUUCUCUCUUCAACCCCCACGUUUCUGGUUUGGUGAGUCCUUCAUACCACCCAUAAUGCUUUGCAUUGGUGCAGGCUGGGGCGGGGGGUGUAUGGUCUCACAAGUUGUUGUUGUUUGCAUGCUUUCUUAAUAAAAAAAAAAAAGAAUGUUUAUGGUUUUA